CUACGGGAGGCUCCAGUGAGGAAUAUUGGUCAAUGGGCGAAAGCCUGAACCAGCCAUGCCGCGUGAAGGAUGACGGCCCUAUGGGUUGUAAACUUCUUUUAUACGGGAAGAAACACCUCUACGUGUAGAGGUUUGACGGUACCGUACGAAUAAGCAUCGGCUAACUCCGGGCCAGCAGCCGCGGUAAUACGGAGGAUGCAAGCGUUAUCCGGAUUUAUUGGGGUUAAAGGGUACGUAGGCGGAAACUUAAGUCAGUAGUGAAAUCCCGCAGCUUAACUGUGGAACUGUUAUUGAUACUGGGUUUCUUGAAUAUUGUUGAGGUAGGCGGAAUAAGUAAUGUAGCGGUGAAAUGCUUAGAUAUUACUUAGAACACCGAUUGCGAAGGCAGCUUACUAAGCAAUUAUUGACGCUGAGGUACGAAAGCGUGGGGAGCGAACAGGAUUAGAUACCCCCGUAGUC
rnacentral:rRNA from 1 species